rnacentral:rRNA from 1 species
AUGGUUAAGCUAAUAAGAGCACACGGAGGAUGCCUAGGCGCCAGGAGCCGACGAAGGACGUGGCGAACAACGAAACUGCCUCGGGGAGCUGUAAGCAAGCUUUGAUCCGGGGGUGUCCGAAUGGGGAAACCCAGCUGUGGUAAUUCGCAGUUACUCAUUUCUGAAUACAUAGGAAAUGUAGAGGCAGACCAGGGGAACUGAAACAUCUAAGUACCCUGAGGAAGAGAAAACAAUAGUGAUUCCGUCAGUAGCGGCGAGCGAACGCGGAACAGCCUAAACCAAGGGGCUUGCCUCUUGGGGUUGUGGGACGUCUCACAUGGAGUUACAAAGGAAUAUGGUAGGCGAAGAGGUCUGGAAAGGCCCGCGAUAGAGGUAAAAGCCCUGUAGCCUAAACUGUGUUCUCUCCGAGACGGAUCCCGAGUAGUGCGGGGCACGUGAAACCCCGUAUGAAUCCAGCAGGACCAUCUGCUAAGGCUAAAUACUACCUGGCGACCGAUAGUGAAACAGUACCGUGAGGGAAAGGUGAAAAGCACCCCGGAAGGGGAGUGAAAUAGAACCUGAAACCGUGUGCUUACAAAAAGUCAGAGCCCUCUUUAUGGGUGAUGGCGUGCCUUUUGUAGAAUGAACCGGCGAGUUACGUUUAACAUGCAAGGUUAAGGUGAGAAGCCGGAGCCGCAGCGAAAGCGAGUCUGAAUAGGGCGACUGAGUAUGUGGACGUAGACCCGAAACCGUGUGAUCUACCCCUGUCCAGGGUGAAGGUGCGGUAACACGCACUGGAGGCCCGAACCCACGCAUGUUGAAAAAUGCGGGGAUGAGGUGGGGGUAGCGGAGAAAUUCCAAUCGAACUCGGAGAUAGCUGGUUCUCCCCGAAAUAGCUUUAGGGCUAGCCUCGGUGAAUGGAGUGGUGGAGGUAGAGCACUGAUUGGGUGCGGGGCCCGCAAGGGUUACCAAGCUCAGUCAAACUCCGAAUGCCAUUAACUUCUUGCCGGGAGUCAGACAGUGAGUGCUAAGAUCCAUUGUCAAAAGGGAAACAGCCCAGACCAUCAGCUAAGGUCCCCAAGUGUGUGUUAAGUGGGAAAGGAUGUGGAGUUGCACAGACAACCAGGAUGUUGGCUUAGAAGCAGCCACCAUUGAAAGAGUGCGUAAUAGCUCACUGGUCGAGUGACUCUGCGCCGAAAAUGUAACGGGGCUAAACACACCACCGAAGCUAUGGCUAGAUGCUUUGCAUCUGGGGUAGGGGAGCGUUGUAUGUGGGUUGAAGGUGUACCGUAAGGAGCGCUGGACAGCAUACAAGUGAGAAUGCCGGUAUGAGUAACGAAAAGAUCAGUGAGAAUCUGAUCCGCCGAAAGCCCAAGGUUUCCUGAGGAAGGCUCGUCCGCUCAGGGUAAGUCGGGACCUAAGGCGAGGCCGAAAGGCGUAGUCGAAGGACAACAGUUUGAAAUUACUGUACCACCGUAAUCCGCUAUGAGCGAUGGGGUGACGCAGGAGGGUAGUGACGCGGACUGAUGGAUGUCCGUCUAAGCAGUGAGGCUGGUGUGUAGGCAAAUCCGCACACCGUAAGGCUGGGCUGUGAUGGGGAGCGAAAAUUGUAGUAGCGAAGGUCAUGAUCUCACACUGCCAAGAAAAGCCUCUAGCCAGGAGAAGGUGCCCGUACCGCAAACCGACACAGGUAGGCGAGAAGAGAAUUCUAAGGCGCGCGGAAGAACUCUCGUUAAGGAACUCGGCAAAAUGACCUCGUAACUUCGGGAGAAGAGGUGCCUCGGUAGGGUGAAUAGCCCGAGGGGGCCGCAGUGAAAAGGCCCAAGCGACUGUUUAGCAAAAACACAGGUCUGUGCGAAGCCGCAAGGCGAAGUAUACGGGCUGACGCCUGCCCGGUGCUGGAAGGUUAAGGGGAGUGGUUAGGGGUUAAACCCGAAGCUGUGAACCGAAGCCCCAGUAAACGGCGGCCGUAACUAUAACGGUCCUAAGGUAGCGAAAUUCCUUGUCAGGUAAAUUCUGACCCGCACGAAUGGCGUAACGACUUGGGCGCUGUCUCAACGAGAGAUCCGGUGAAAUUUUAAUACCUGUGAAGAUGCAGGUUACCCGCGACAAGACGGAAAGACCCCAUGGAGCUUUACUGCAGCUUGAUAUUGAAUUUGGGUACGAUCUGUACAGGAUAGGUGGGAGCCGGUGAGAGCGGAGCGCAAGCUUCGCUGGAGGCGCCGUUGGGAUACCACCCUGAUCGUAUCUAGGUUCUAACCUGGUACCCUAAGCGGGUACGGGGACCGUGUCAGGCGGGCAGUUUGACUGGGGCGGUCGCCUCCUAAAGAGUAACGGAGGCGUUCAAAGGUUCCCUCAGAAUGGUUGGAAAUCAUUCGCAGAGUGCAAAGGCAUAAGGGAGCUUGACUGCGAGACCUACAAGUCGAGCAGGGACGAAAGUCGGACUUAGUGAUCCGGUGGUACCGCAUGGAAGGGCCAUCGCUCAACGGAUAAAAGCUACCCUGGGGAUAACAGGCUUAUCUCCCCCAAGAGUCCACAUCGACGGGGAGGUUUGGCACCUCGAUGUCGGCUCAUCGCAUCCUGGGGCUGAAGUAGGUCCCAAGGGUUGGGCUGUUCGCCCAUUAAAGCGGUACGCGAGCUGGGUUCAGAACGUCGUGAGACAGUUCGGUCCCUAUCUGUCGUGGGCGCAGGAAAUUUGAGAGGAGCUGUCCUUAGUACGAGAGGACCGGGAUGGACGUACCGCUGGUGCAUCAGUUGUUCCGCCAGGAGCAUGGCUGAGUAGCUACGUACGGACGGGAUAAGCGCUGAAAGCAUCUAAGCGUGAAGCCCCCCUCAAGAUGAGAUUUCCCAAUUAGUAAGACCCCUUGAAGACGACGAGGUAGAUAGGUUGGAGGUGGAAGUGCAGCAAUGCAUGGAGCUGACCAAUACUAAUCGGUCGAGGGCUUAUCCAAAA